rnacentral:rRNA from 1 species
UACUGCAUUUUUUCUUACACAUGUGUUUUUCUUUUUUUGAAAACUUUGCUUUGGUAGGCCUCGGUGUGGGGCCUGCCAGAGAUUAAACUCAACCAAAUUUUAUUUAAUGUCAACCGAUUAUUUAAUAGUCAAAACUUUCAACAACGGAUCUCUUGGUUCUCGCAUCGAUGAAGAACGCAGCGAAAUGCGAUAAGUAAUAUGAAUUGCAGAUAUUCGUGAAUCAUCGAAUCUUUGAACGCACAUUGCGCCCUUUGGUAUUCCAAAGGGCAUGCCUGUUUGAGCGUCAUUUCUCCCUCAAACCCUCGGGUUUGGUGUUGAGCGAUACGCUGGGUUUGCUUGAAAGAAAGGCGGAGUAUAAACUAAUGGAUAGGUUUUUUCCACUCAUUGGUACAAACUCCAAAACUUCUUCCAAAUUCGACCUCAAAUCAGGUAGGACUACCCGCUGAACUUAAGCAUAUCAAUAAGCGGAGG